rnacentral:snRNA from 1 species
GUACUCACUUCAGCACCACAAAUACCAAAACUGGACUGAUACAGAGAAGACUAGCAUGGGCCCUGCAUAAGGAAGACACACAAAUUCGUGAAGCGUUCCAUAUUUUU